CCUGGUUGAUCCUGCCAGUAGUCAUAUGCUUGUCUCAAAGAUUAAGCCAUGCAUGUCUAAGUACAUACCUUUGCACGGUGAAACCGCGAAUGGCUCAUUAAAUCAGUUAUGGUUCCUUAGAUAGUUCAUAUUACAUGGAUAACUGUGGUAAUUCUAGAGCUAAUACAUGCGAAAAGCUCCGACCGUAUGGGAAGAGCGCUUUUAUUAGACCAAAACCAAUGGGGUCGCAAGAUCCCUUUGUAUGGUGACUCUGGAUAACUUUGUGCUGAUCGCAUGGCCUCGAGCCGGCGACGUAUCUUUCAAAUGUCUGCCCUAUCAACUUUCGAUGGUAAGCGAUUUGCCUACCAUGGUUGUAACGGGUAACGGGGAAUCAGGGUUCGAUUCCGGAGAGGGAGCAUGAGAAAUGGCUACCACAUCUACGGAAGGCAGCAGGCGCGCAAAUUACCCACUCCUAGAUCGGGGAGGUAGUGACGAAAAAUAACAAUACCGGACUCUAUGAGGCUCGGUAAUUGAAAUGAGUACAGUUUAAAACCCUUAACGAGGAUCUAUUGGAGGGCAAGUCUGGUGCCAGCAGCCGCGGUAAUUCCAGCUCCAAUAGCGUAUAUUAAAGUUGUUCAGUUAAAAAGCUCGUAGUUGGAUCUCGGGUACUAGCAUGUGGUACGCUUAAUUGCUGUUACUGCUUGUCUAGUCCUAAUCAAUCGGUUGGCCGUUUAUGCCCUUUAUUGGGUGUUUUCGGUAGCCGGUACGUUUACUUUGAGAAAAUUAGAGUGCUUAAAGCAGGCUUUACGCCUGAAUAAUGUUGCAUGGAAUAAUAGAAUAGGACCUCGGUUCUAUUUUGUUGGUUUUGUAGAGCAUUGAGGUAAUGAUUAAUAGGGACAGACGGGGGCAUUCGUAUUGCGGUGUUAGAGGUGAAAUUCUUGGAUCGCCGCAAGACGAACAACUGCGAAAGCAUUUGCCAAGAAUGUUUUCAUUAAUCAAGAUCGAAAGUUGGAGGUUCGAAGACGAUUAGAUACCGUCCUAGUUCCAACCAUAAACGAUGCCAACUAGCGAUUAGCUGCUGUUAAUUAAACGACACAGCUAGCAGCUUCCGGGAAACCAAAGUUUUUGGGUUCCGGGGGAAGUAUGGUUGCAAAGCUGAAACUUAAAGGAAUUGACGGAAGGGCACCACCAGGAGUGGAGCCUGCGGCUUAAUUUGACCCAACACGGGAAAUCUCACCCGGCCCGGACACUGUAAGGAUUGACAGAUUGAGAGCUCUUUCUUGAUUCGGUGGGUGGUGGUGCAUGGCCGUUCUUAGUUGGUGGAGCGAU
rnacentral:rRNA from 1 species